rnacentral:rRNA from 1 species
GAGAGUUAAAUAGUACGUGAAAUUGUUGAAAGGGAAACGAUUGAAGUCAGUCAUGCUAGUGAAAAUUCAGUUUGACGGGUUUUGGGUUUGGGAGUAGAGGCAGGGUCAAACCGUUUCUCUUUUGAACUUGGAAUUUGUCAGAUGCACUUUUUCUUUGGCAGGUCAGCGUCGAUUUCGGAGGUUGUAAAAUACUUGGGGAAAAGUAGCUCUGCUUCGGGAGAGUGUUAUAGACCUUGGGUGAUGCGGCCUGCGGGAUCGAGGAUUGCAGCAAAUGCUUUUGGCUUGUCGCCUGAUCUCUGGACGUCAUCUCGCUUGUAUCAACAUUCUUGGUACCGGUGAGUAAUGGUGCUCAUAGGUUAGAGCGAUCAAAAAUUUUGCUAAGGAUGCUGACGUAAUGGCUUUAAACGA